rnacentral:piRNA from 1 species
UGCUGCCAAUACUGACGCUUCUACUG